rnacentral:rRNA from 1 species
AUUGAACGCUGGCGGCAGGCUUAACACAUGCAAGUCGAGCGGGGAAGGGUAGCUUGCUACCUGACCUAGCGGCGGACGGGUGAGUAAUGCUUAGGAAUCUGCCUAUUAGUGGGGGACAACAUUCCGAAAGGAAUGCUAAUACCGCAUACGCCCUACGGGGGAAAGCAGGGGAUCUUCGGACCUUGCGCUAAUAGAUGAGCCUAAGUCAGAUUAGCUAGUUGGUGGGGUAAAGGCCUACCAAGGCGACGAUCUGUAGCGGGUCUGAGAGGAUGAUCCGCCACACUGGGACUGAGACACGGCCCAGACUCCUACGGGAGGCAGCAGUGGGGAAUAUUGGACAAUGGGCGCAAGCCUGAUCCAGCCAUGCCGCGUGUGUGAAGAAGGCCUUUUGGUUGCAAAGCACUUUAAGCGAGGAGGAGGCUACUUGGAUUAAUACUCUAGGAUAGUGGACGUUACUCGCAGAAUAAGCACCGGCUAACUCUGUGCCAGCAGCCGCGGUAAUACAGAGGGUGCGAGCGUUAAUCGGAUUUACUGGGCGUAAAGCGUGCGUAGGCGGCUUUUUAAGUCGGAUGUGAAAUCCCUGAGCUUAACUUAGGAAUUGCAUUUGAUACUGGGAAGCUAGAGUAUGGGAGAGGAUGGUAGAAUUCCAGGUGUAGCGGUGAAAUGCGUAGAGAUCUGGAGGAAUACCGAUGGCGAAGGCAGCCAUCUGGCCUAAUACUGACGCUGAGGUACGAAAGCGUGGGGAGCAAACAGG